CUUUACGUGCCACAUUGUCUCC
rnacentral:miRNA from 2 species